AUUGAACGCUGGCGGCAGGCCUAACACAUGCAAGUCGAACGAGUGGCGGACGGGUGAGUAAUGUCUGGGAAACUGCCCGAUGGAGGGGGAUAACUACUGGAAACGGUAGCUAAUACCGCAUACCAUCGGAUGUGCCCAGAUGGGAUUAGCUUGUAGGUUAGGUAACGGCUCACCUAGGCGACGAUCCCUAGCUGGUCUGCGAGGAUGAGCAGCCAAACUGGAACUGAGACACGGUGCAGACUCCUACGGGAGGCAGGAGUGGGGAAUAUUGCACAAUGGGUGCAAGUCUGAUGCAGCCAUGCCGCGGGUAUGAAGAAGGCGUUCGGGUUUGAAAGUACUUUCAGCGGGGAGGCGUUACCCGCAGAAGAAGCCCCGGCUAACUCCGUGCCAGCAGCCGCUGUAAUUC
rnacentral:rRNA from 1 species